rnacentral:sRNA from 1 species
CAGCGCUCCCGAGGCCGCGGGAGCCUGCAGAGAGGACAGCCGGCCUGCGCCGGGACAUGCGGCCCCAGGAGCUCCCCAGGCUCGCGUUCCCGCUGCUGCUGUUGCUGCUGCUGCCACCGCCGCCGUGCCCUGCCCACAGCGCCACGCGCUUCGACCCCACCUGGGAGUCCCUGGACGCCCGCCAGCUGCCCGCGUGGUUUGACCAGGCCAAGUUCGGCAUCUUCAUCCACUGGGGAGUGUUUUCCGUGCCCAGCUUCGGUAGCGAGUGGUUCUGGUGGUAUUGGCAAAAGGAAAAGAUACCGAAGUAUGUGGAAUUUAUGAAAGAUAAUUACCCUCCUAGUUUCAAAUAUGAAGAUUUUGGACCACUAUUUACAGCAAAAUUUUUUAAUGCCAACCAGUGGGCAGAUAUUUUUCAGGCCUCUGGUGCCAAAUACAUUGUCUUAACUUCCAAACAUCAUGAAGCAACUUGUAGAGACAGUUUCAUGUGGAGGAAAUCUUUUGAUGAAUAUUGGGCCCACACUAGAUGGCACCAUUUCUGUAGUUUUUGAGGAGCGACUGAGGCAAAUGGGGUCCUGGCUAAAAGUCAAUGGAGAAGCUAUUUAUGAAACCCAUACCUGGCGAUCCCAGAAUGACACUGUCA